GUUGCAUGAGAAAAGGUUUCACAGAGCCACAUGGUUGCUUCUGAUACUGGGCAGAGACUGAGCUGCUUCACUGAACACCGGCUCUGAUUCUCAGAUCGCUGCAAGACAAACAACCCAAAAGUCAGUGGGAUCACCAGAGAGGGAGAGAGAAGGAAAAAGGGGAAAAUAAAACGAUGCUGUGAUUUCCCUGGGAGCAGACAUUGCAGAGGUGACUGAGCCACCCAUGGGACUGCUGGGCUUUUGUCAAGUUUCUAGCCAACAUCACAAGGCAACGCCAAGGACUGGAGGGCCUGUUAAAAACCACAAGUCCAUCAUGCAGAGGCCUGCCGUUGUGAUACUCGGAACACACCUCACCAUCACCAUCACCAUCACCAUCAUCAUCAUCAUCAUCAUCAUCACCACCUCAUCGACAUGUCCCUUGUAUGUGUCCUUGCAGCAGUGA
ensembl:lncRNA